UACAGAGGUCUCAAGCGUUGUUCGGAUUCAUUGGGCGUAAAGGGUGCGUAGGUGGCGCUGUAAGUCAGGUGUGAAAUUUCGGAGCUUAACUCCGAAACUGCAUUUGAUACUGCGGUGCUUGAGGACUGGAGAGGAGACUGAAUUUACGGUGUAGCAGUGAAUGCGUAGAGAUCGUAAGGAAGACCAGUGGCGAAGGCGGUCUCUGGACAGUUCCUGACACUGAGGCACGAAGGCCAGGGAGCAAACGGG
rnacentral:rRNA from 1 species